rnacentral:lncRNA from 10 species
CUUCGGGGCAACAAUAGCAUUGCCACCAGUUGCACAACCCAAGAUGUUGCUGACAGACUGUCCUCUGUGGAAGAGGUUAUAAAAGCAUCUAUGAUUUCAGAAGGGGCAAUAACUCCAAUAACUAACACAGUCUCCAGGGGUGACUCUCAAGCCGUGAAAGUCAGGACAGCGGCAGGAAGCCCCACACCGCCAGCAGGGAUCCUUGGCUGCCAGUGGAAGCUGGGCUUGGCUUUGUGUGGGUUCUGCGCUCCUUCGCCCAGUUUCAAAACCUCCCGCACCUGUGUCUUUCUCCAUGCAAAUGAGCCCAACAGGAAAAACAGGCGCCUGUGGAGGUUUCACAACAACCUAGAAGCUGUCCCAUGCCAGAUCUCUGUCGGUGAGAAAAUGUGUGUGGAUGCUGACUUCUAGAAGACUCCAAAGCGCUUGUCUUCCCCACUCCCCAUUUCCAAAGGCUGAGACUCCUCUGCACUCCGAGUUUCCUCCCACGCUUCGUCUGAAGAGUGGGUUUUGGGGAGUGAAGGAUAGAAAAUAUCUGAAGACUCUUCCCUAUGACUUAAGACAUGAAUUUUCUUCUCAAGUCUUGAACUAAAGUCAGAAAGUGUUUGCAAGAAAUGUUCUUCUAGGUCCCACAUCCACGGGACCAGAUGAUGCCUGGCUCAAUGCAUUCCUAUCUGAAGUGGGGCAGAGAGGCUGGCAGCCUUCUUUACUAACCAGGCCUGGGAUGAGGUCAGGGGACACUGCUCCGUCACAAGAGUCUGCUGUGAUUAUAACAAUAAAAUAUACGACACACAUGAAGACUUUCAUCCCAGCAGCCCCAGGCUCACUGCAAACGAGUCAUAAUUAUGCAUCUCAACAGCACCCCCCAUUCUCUCCCAAUGUGGAAACUGAGGCAAAAGGAGGUCAAGGCUAUGGCUCCUCAGCCACCAAGAGACCCACAGAUCUGCUGUGACUUCCCUGUGCCCAGAAUUCCAGCCUUGCGGGGAAGCCGUGGGAAGUUCACUCAGGCCAUCUCAAAUCCCAAAUGUCCACCACCUUGAACACCCAUCUUUGGACAGUGGGAAAGCUGUGAUCCAGCUCCAUCUGGAUCCUUUAGUUACCCUAAACCUUGAGCGGCCAUGGAGUCCCGACUUCUGACCUAUGAGAUUACACAAAAACAAUACAAAACAGCAAAACACAUGAUAGAACAGUGAAACGCGAAUGCUGCGUUGCUUGGGUAACCCACGUGUCCGUCUCACCAGGUUGUGAGCUCUCCCAGGCAGGGACCACGUCGCCAUAUCAGGGUCAGUGCACGGGCACAGGAUGCCACCUGCCGUGAGCACCUGCUGUGUGUUUGAUACUAUUCCACACCAUAAGGAUCCAGAGAUUUCCACCGGGGACUUUGCCAAGCUGUUAUCUCCCCUCAUGACUGAGUGUAGAACAGAGUCCCAGGCUGGGCGCAGUGGCUCGCGCCUGUAAUCCCAGCACUUUGGGAGGCCAAGGUGUGAGGAGCACUUCAGCUGAGGAGUAAGAGAUCAGCCUGGGUAACAUAGUGGGGCUCCAUCUCUACAAAACACAAAAAGAUAUACUUUAGCCAGGCGUGUGGUGUAUGCCUGUAGUUCCAGCUACUUGGAAGGCUGAAGCGGGAGGAUCCCAGGAUCCCUUCAGCUCAGGAGUUGGAGGCUGCAGUGAGCUGUGAGGCCACUCCAGCCUGGGGGACAGAACAAGACCCUGUGUAAAGUGGCAGUCCUCUACCCAUGUGUGAGCGUGAUCACUUCCACAAAUGAACACUGAGGAGGUCUCUUCUGUGCCAGGUUCUGUGCUGGGCCUUGGGAUAUAAGCAGCAUGGCCCUCCCUUGUGGGGCGCGUGGGGAGAAGGAUGUUAAAUAAUCUAAAAAAGGGGCCUAAAACUCAAUCUUUGAAGGUGAGCUGCAGGGUGGUGUGGUCUCUUUGAUCUCUCAGGGGAGCCAGGGAGGGUGUCUGUCGAACGGUGACUGUGGAGGUCAGAUCAGAUGCAUCAGCAGGAGGUAGCAAGACAGAGGUGGGAGGGAGGGCUGAGUGGUUGAGGCAGUGCACACAGUUGUGCAAGGGCCCGGGGGCAGGAGGAAAUUUGGUGUGACAGAAGGACUGAAGGCAGUGUGGCUGGACAGUUGGGCUGUCCAGAGCAUUGGGACCAUGCUAAAGAUUUUAUUCUUGAUCCUAGGAGCAAUGGGAAUCUAUCAAAUCAUUUUAAGCAGGAGCCAGAUUUGACUCUAUGCACAUUUUUGUUUGUGUUUGUUUGUUUGUUUUGAGAUGGAGUCCGGCUCUGUCGCGCAGGCUGGAGUGCAGUGGCGCGAUCUCGGCUCACUGCAACCUCCAUCUCCUGGGUUCAAGCAAUUCUCCUGCCUCAGCCUCCCAAGUAGCUGGGAUUACAGGUGCAUGCCACCAUGCCCAGCUAAUUUUUCGUAUUUUUAGUAGAGAUGGGGUUUCACUGUGUGAGCCAGGAUGGUCUCCAUCUCCUGACCUCGUGAUCCGCCCACCUCGGCCUCCCAAAGUGCUGGAAUUACAGACGUGAGCCACCGUGCCCAGCCAUCUCUAUGCACAUUUUAAGACAUGUCUGCAAAUAUUUUCUGUAAAGGGCCAGAUAGUAAAUCUUUCAGGCUUGGGGGAGCAUAGGGUGGAAAUGGCUCAACUCUGCCCACAGAGUGCAGAAGCAACUGUAGACAAUAAGCAAAGAAUGAAGAAGUGCAGCUGCCUGUAGCAAGCAGGAGGCCCACAAAAGGGAUAUCGAUUAUUACUGAGGACAUGACUGCAAGUUAUGAUUCACUCACUCCUGCAUUCACCCAUUCAACAGAUACAUUAAGUACCUGCUACAGGUGAAGCAUUCUUAAUCUGAAAAUCUGAAAUGCUCCAAAGCUCAAAACUUUUUGAGUGUUGACACCAUGCUCAAAGGAAACACUCUUUGGAGCAUUUGGGAUUUCAGAGUUUGUGUGUGUGCGUGUGUGUGUGUGUGUGUUUAAUUUCAUUUUUUAAACUAGAGACAGGGUCCUACUGUAUUGCCCAGGCUGUCUCAAACUUCCGGCCUCGAGUGACUCUCCCACCUCAGCCUCUCAAAGCGCUGAGAUUACAGGCAUAAGCCACUGCACCUGGCCGGGAUCUCAGAUUUGGGGAUUACGCAUGCUCAACUG